rnacentral:lncRNA from 1 species
AUGUUCCCAUGUCUGUCCACACAGAUGACACUGUGCAGUUGUGUCCAAGCCCUUUCAUUGCCUCAUAGGAUCACAGAACAGUUUGGGUUGGGAGGGACCUUUAAAGAUCACCUCAUUCCAAUCCCUGCCAUGGGCAGGGACACCUCCCACCACACCAGGUUGCCCAAAGCCCCAUCCAGCCUGGCCUUGAGCACCUCCAGGGAUGGGGCAUCCACAGCUUCUCUGGGCAGCCUGUGCCAGCGCCUCACCACCCUCAAUUUUCUUUCUUUUAAUGGCAGCUCUGCUGGUCUCAGCAUCCUUGGUGAGGGAAGGCCACAGCCACCCAUGCCACCUCUCUUGGCACCCAGAAACCAGGGCUCUGCUGCCAUGGGGAGGCCAACACAGAGAUGUCGGAGACAAGUGGUGUCUUGGACGCGGCUUGAAGUCACAGGUGACUCUGAGGAUGGUCAGCAAUAAUGCAGCCAAAUGACUCUUCCGUUGUAGAUCCCUUGAAGUCAAUGUUGUUACCCCAACAUAAAAUUUAACCCAGGACACUUCCUGCACAUUCCCGGGCAGCACUUAUCGGAACACGGUGAGAUUCUCAUCUCCUCUGCUUCAGGUCUUACUGUCUGUAUGCAGCACAUCUGCACACAGGAAAAUUAAACUCACAGCUGUCAAAGCUGUUGCAGAUCUCCUUCUCUCUUGCUUGCAUCAGGGAUGACCAUAGCCUGUUGCAUCUCACUCCCUCCCAUUUCAAUUAGAAACACGUACGCAUUUUCCUUGGGAUUUUAUAAAACUUCCAUUGCAGGUCUCAUGGUAAGUCAGGUCAGUCAGAAGCAGGGACAAACUCGGGACACAGGGAGGGACUGCAGCAGGGUUCACAUGUUCUGGAUUCUAAUCUUGUCCUGCCACACGUAUGAGUCACCCUCGUUAUUUCCACCAGCAAAAUGGUAAGAACAAGGGAGCCCUUUUUUCUGCAGCCUAGUGAGGUCUGCAGAAAAAAUCAUUGGUCGCUGUUGAGGUUCAAUCUGAAAUUCUGCCACUGAAAACCAUUUUGUGAAGAACUGUAUUUGCAGGCUCUCCCUUUAAGCUGCAGGCAUGUAACCUGCAUGCAGGUAGUGUGUGCCACUUCCUUGGGAUCAGCACAGCACACUGCUACUCUGCUUCCUAGAGGCAAGUCCCUCUUCCUCUUCUUGCAGCGUGUAUAAAUGUGCCAUUCGAAAAGUUAUGAGCUUUUUAUUGUCACUUGUGGAGUGAGAUAUUGAACCAUCGAAGUGCUUAUUCAUUUCUGUUUAUCUGAUUGUCGUAAUGUUUCUAAACUGCCAGUUGAAGGUAAGAGAUAAACUCCAGCCAGCCUCAGACUUAAAGGCGCCUUUGACGUAGCUAGGUUUUUUCAUUAGAGGAUGAUAUAUUAUUUAUUGACCCACACAGGGUCACCUGGAAAUACUUCAUGCAGGGAAUCAAAAGGGAAGAAGAG